rnacentral:rRNA from 1 species
CAAUGGGCGAAAGCCUGAUGCAGCAACGCCGCGUGCGGGAAGAAGGCCCUAGGGUGUAAACCGCUUUCAGCAGGGAAGAAAAUGACGGUACCUGCAGAAGAAGGUGCGGCCAACUACGUGCCAGCAGCCGCGGUGACACGUAGGCACCAAGCGUUGUCCGGAUUUAUUGGGCGUAAAGAGCUCGUAGGCGGUUCAGUAAGUCGGGUGUGAAAACUCUGGGCUCAACCCAGAGACGCCACCCGAUACUGCUGUGACUUGAGUACGGUAGGGGAGUGGGGAAUUCCUGGUGUAGCGGUGAAAUGCGCAGAUAUCAGGAGGAACACCAGUGGCGAAGGCGCCACUCUGGGCCGUAACUGACGCUGAGGAGCGAAAGCGUGGGGAGCAAACAGGAUUAGAUACCCUGGUAGUCCACGCCGUAAACGUCGGGCACUAGGUGUGGGUCUCAACCAACGAGAUCCGCGCCGUCGCUAACGCAUUAAGUGCCCCGCCUGGGGAGUACGGUCGCAAGACUA